UGGGGAAUAUUGGACAAUGGGCGCAAGCCUGAUCCAGCAAUUCCGCGUGGGUGAAGAAGGUCUUCGGAUUGUAAAGCCCUUUCGACGGGGACGAUGAUGACGGUACCCGUAGAAGAAGCCCCGGCUAACUUCGUGCCAGCAGCCGCGGUAAUACGAAGGGGGCUAGCGUUGCUCGGAAUUACUGGGCGUAAAGGGCGCGUAGGCGGCGGUGUUAGUCAGGCGUGAAAGCCCUGGGCUCAACCUGGGGACUGCGCUUGAGACGGCAUUGCUAGAGGAUGGAAGAGGGUCGCGGAAUUCCCAGUGUAGAGGUGAAAUUCGUAGAUAUUGGGAAGAACACCGGUGGCGAAGGCGGCGACCUGGUCCAUUACUGACGCUGAGGCGCGACAGCGUGGGGAGCAAACA
rnacentral:rRNA from 1 species